rnacentral:rRNA from 1 species
UACGAACUGUGCGAACGUUAUUCGGAAUCACUGGGCUUACAGGGUGCGUAGGCGGCUCAACAAGUCAGGUGUGAAAGCCCCCGGCUCAACCGGGGAACUGCGCUUGAAACUGUUAGGCUCGAGUCAGCUAGAGGUACACGGAACUUCCAGUGGAGCGGUGGAAUGUGUUGAUAUUGGAAGGAACACCGGAGGCGAAAGCGGUGUACUGGGGCUGGUCUGACGCUGAGGCACGAAAGCCAGGGGAGCGAACGGG